rnacentral:rRNA from 1 species
ACGAACGCUGGCGGCGUGCCUAAUACAUGCAAGUCGAACGGUCUUUCUAUGGAAGCUUGCUUCCACUGAGAAGAUAGUGGCGAACGGGUGAGUAACACGUGGGUAACCUGCCCAUAAGAGGGGGAUAACAUCCGGAAACGGGUGCUAAUACCGCAUAGUUUUCUUGAUCGCAUGAUUGAGAAAGGAAAGACGGCCUUUGUGCUGUCGCUUAUGGAUGGACCCGCGGCGUAUUAGUCAGUUGGUGAGGUAACGGCUCACCAAGACGAUGAUACGUAGCCGACCUGAGAGGGUGAUCGGCCACAUUGGGACUGAGACACGGCCCAAACUCCUACGGGAGGCAGCAGUAGGGAAUCUUCCGCAAUGGACGAAAGUCUGACGGAGCGACGCCGCGUGAGUGAAGAAAAGGUUUUCGGAUCGUAAAACUCUGUUGUCAGAGAAGAACAAGUUGGAGAGUAACUGCUCCAGCCUUGACGGUAUCUGACCAGAAAGCCACGGCUAACUACGUGCCAGCCGCCGC